CAGUCGCCGCGGGAAUACGAAGGGUGCAAGCGUUACUCGGAAUUACUGGGCGUAAAGCGUGCGUAGGUGGUGGUUUAAGUCCGUUGUGAAAGCCCUGGGCUCAACCUGGGAAUUGCAGUGGAUACUGGGUCACUAGAGUGUGGUAGAGGAUAGUGGAAUUUCCGGUGUAGCAGUGAAAUGCGUAGAGAUCGGAAGGAACAUCUGUGGCGAAGGCGACUAUCUGGGCCAACACUGACACUGAGGCACGAAAGCGUGGGGAGCAAACAGGAUUAGAUACCCGCGUAGUCCCUGUCUCUUAUAC
rnacentral:rRNA from 1 species